rnacentral:rRNA from 1 species
GUAAGGAAUAUUGGACAAUGGACGCAAGUCUGAUCCAGCCAUGCCGCGUGAAGGAUUAAGGUCCUCUGGAUUGUAAACUUCUUUUAUAAGGGACGAAAAAAGGCUUUUCUAAUUCGUCUGACGGUACCUUAUGAAUAAGCACCGGCUAACUCCGUGCCAGCAGCCGCGGUAAUACGGAGGGUGCAAGCGUUAUCCGGAUUCACUGGGUUUAAAGGGUGCGUAGGCGGGCAGGUAAGUCAGUGGUGAAAUCCUAGAGCUUAACUCUAGAACUGCCAUUGAUACUAUCUGUCUUGAAUAUUGUGGAGGUAAGCGGAAUAUGUCAUGUAGCGGUGAAAUGCUUAGAUAUGACAUAGAACACCUAUUGCGAAGGCAGCUUACUACGCAUAUAUUGACGCUGAGGCACGAAAGCGUGGGGAUCAAACAGGAUUAGAAACCCGUGUAGUCC